AUGGAAACCUACAGAUCAUUGCAACAAAACAAAAAGGGAAAAGGGGAGUGUGUGGCAGCAUCCAAAAACAAGGGAAAAAUGCUUGAUCUCAAUGAGUUGCCUCCAGAUCUCAAUGAGCUUCCUCAUGAUAUGGAUCAACAGCAACCCAGCAUACAACAAGGAAACUGCACAGAAAAUGGUCGAUCUGUUUACUACACGCAGGCAAGUCGUGAUGGUAACCCUACGGGCCAUGACAAUGUGGCAGGCCAGUCAUCAGCCCGUGGUGCCCCUGUAGUGGUGUCUUUGCAGUCAGAGAGCCAUACUCUUGAUGACACAGGAACCGAGGCAAAUGUUCCUGGUCCAACCAGGACUGAGCUAGAAGCUGGGGCUUUUGACAGAGUUGUGCAAGUAGAAGAAGGAGAGGAUGAGCUUUGUGCUACUCCCAAUGGACCUACAGGCAGGACUCAGGGGGCUCAUAACCCAGGCGACUACAAUCCAAGUACCAUAACAGGUCGUGCUACUGCAGGUGAUCGUGACGGUCCUACUGCCCCGUUGGAGGCUGCAUCCCUUGCACAAGCUUCUGAUGAUUUUGUGCCCAGGGAUCCUCCAAGGUCUACUACAAAGGGUAGGGCAAAGAGUCGACGCUACAAAUCGGCGCUGGAGCUACGCCCAAAGAAGAAAAACAAAUGCAGCCAGUGCCAAUCUACAGAGCACACUGCUGGUGUGUGUCCACAGAGGCUCCUAUGA
rnacentral:rRNA from 1 species